UGAUAGCACUACUACGUCCCCUCCAAAAGGUGAGAACUGACUCUUCCAUCUGUACCUGGAUCAUGUGGAGAAAGGACUGAGAAUGGAAGCAGAAAACAGACAUUGUCCAUGUAGAGCAGACUGCCUGACAACAGCUCACUCUAAUAAAGGGCAAUAAAUGCCACACGAGAUGAUCCUCUCAUCACAAAACUUUACAUCUGACUUAUAUGCCUGGUCUGAUAACUUCUAUCUUUUUAUGACUCCUAAAUUGUGGAGAGAGAGAGAGCACAAGCAUGAGCCUGGGAGGG